rnacentral:lncRNA from 10 species
CGACCCUCUCUGCUCUUCCCCAGCCUGCGCUGCUCCAGCUCCACGUGCGCCCGGGGAUGCAAUGCAGCCCUGCAGACAAGCGUCUCCGGCAGGACGUGGGCCGCGGGUCUCGGAGCCUCCUUCACUUAGAUCCCAUGAACAGCAGUACCACCUGCCAACGCGUCCUCAUAUGUAAAAUGGGCAUAAACUCGAACCUCCCUCCUAAGGCUGAAUCCUCCGGAAUCCGCCCCACUGCACGCCAGCAGUCGGAGGCCUGGGGCGUGCUGCCCACGUGACUGACGGCCGGGAAGGAAAGAUGGCGGCGACUAUGAUGGCUUCAGAGAGAGGGCAACCAACGAGAGGACGCCGCCCGCCAGAGCGUCCACACCGCCGCUUUUUCUGCGGUUGCGUCCUGGGAAGGCGCGAAUUGUGUGGCUACGGGCGGGUCGUCCUCUCCACCAUUUUUUAAUGGAAAAAAUAAUAAUUCUCAAAGACGGUUUGGUCUGACCUGCCUCCCCACCUCUUGGCAUCCGCAGGAUCGCAGGCGUGUAAAAGACGGGAUUGUGGGACUGGGCCCAGUGACUCAUGCCUGUAAUCCCAGCGCUUUGCGGGGCCAAGGCCAGAGUAUCUCUUGAGCCCAGGUGUUCGAGACCAGCCUGGGCAACAUAGCGAGCCCCCAUCUCUAUUUUUAAAAAUGGUGUAUAGAUAUAGAGGAGAUCGUGGGAUUCAGUAUCUGAGAUUUUCUACCUUGGUGUCAACGCCCCUGUCAACCUAUUAGGUGACCUCAGAGUGUUCCCCCAGCCCUCAAUUCUAGGGAUCCCAGAUCCUGGAACACACACAUGCCCCGUCUGCCCCUUCGGGACAAGGAGAUCUAAUGGCACUCUCAGAAUUAGGCCUUAAAUGCUAAUUUCCUGGAGAUCCG